rnacentral:rRNA from 1 species
AACGAACGCUGGCGGCAUGCCUAACACAUGCAAGUCGAACGAAGCCUUCGGACUUAGUGGCGCACGGGUGCGUAACGCGUGGGAAUCUGCCCUUGGGUGCGGAAUAACUUCUCGAAAGGGAUGCUAAUACCGCAUAAUGUCGUAAGACCAAAGAUUUAUCGCCCAAGGAUGAGCCCGCGUAAGAUUAGCUAGUUGGUGGGGUAAAAGCCUACCAAGGCGACGAUCUUUAGCUGGUCUGAGAGGAUGAUCAGCCACACUGGGACUGAGACACGGCCCAGACUCCUACGGGAGGCAGCAGUGGGGAAUAUUGGACAAUGGGCGAAAGCCUGAUCCAGCAAUGCCGCGUGAGUGAUGAAGGCCCUAGGGUUGUAAAGCUCUUUUACCAGGGAUGAUAAUGACAGUACCUGGAGAAUAAGCUCCGGCUAACUCCGUGCCAGCAGCCGCGGUAAU